CCGUGAACCUUUACUAUAGCUUGACACUGAACAUUGAGCCUUGAUGUGUAGGAUAGGUGGGAGGCUUUGAAGUGUGGACGCCAGUCUGCAUGGAGCCGACCUUGAAAUACCACCCUUUAAUGUUUGAUGUUCUAACGUGGACCCGUAAUCCGGGUUGCGGACAGUGUCUGGUGGGUAGUUUGACUGGGGCGGUCUCCUCCUAAAGAGUAACGGAGGAGCACGAAGGUUGGCUAAUCCUGGUCGGACAUCAGGAGGUUAGUGCAAUGGCAUAAGCCAGCUUGACUGCGAGCGUGACGGCGCGAGCAGGUGCGAAAGCAGGUCAUAGUGAUCCGGUGGUUCUGAAUGGAAGGGCCAUCGCUCAACGGAUAAAAGGUACUCCGGGGAUAACAGGCUGAUACCGCCCAAGAGUUCAUAUCGACGGCGGUGUUUGGCACCUCGAUGUCGGCUCAUCACAUCCUGGGGCUGAAGUAGGUCCCAAGGGUAUGGCUGUUCGCCAUUUAAAGUGGUACGCGAGCUGGGUUUAGAACGUCGUGAGACAGUUCGGUCCCUAUCUGCCGUGGGCGCUGGAGAACUGAGGGGGGCUGCUCCUAGUACGAGAGGACCGGAGUGGACGCAUCACUGGUGUUCGGGUUGUCAUGCCAAUGGCACUGCCCGGUAGCUAAAUGCGGAAGAGAUAAGUGCUGAAAGCAUCUAAGCACGAAACUUGCCCCGAGAUGAGUUCUCCCUGAGACUUAGAGUCUCCUGAAGGAACGUUGAAGACGACGACGUUGAUAGGCCGGGUGUGUAAGCGCAGCGAUGCGUUGAGCUAACCGGUACUAAUGAACCGUGAGGCUUAACCUUACAACGCCG
rnacentral:rRNA from 1 species